AAUAUUGCACAAUGGAGGAAACUCUGAUGCAGCGACGCCGCGUGAGUGACGAAGGCCUUCGGGUUGUAAAGCUCUGUUCUCAGGGAAAAAGUAAGUGAUUGUACCUGCGGAGAAAGGACCGGCUAACUUCGUGCCAGCAGCCGCGGUAAGACGAGGGGUCCAAGCGUUGUUCGGAAUCAUUGGGCGUAAAGCGGGUGCAGGUGGCUUCGUAAGUCAGGAGUGAAAGCCCCGAGCUUAACUUGGGAAGUGCUUUUGAUACUGCGGAGCUUGAGUGUGGGAGAGGAUAGUGGAAUUCCUGGUGUAGUGGUGAAAUACGUAGAUAUCAGGAGGAACACCGGUGGCGAAGGCGGCGAUCUGGCCCAACACUGACACUCAGACCCGAAAGCGUGGGGAUCAAACAGG
rnacentral:rRNA from 1 species